CGUGCCUGCGUGCGUGUGCACGUAGUCGUUGAUGGAGGCAGGAAGCGAGAAGGAAGCGGGAAGGUGGAAGAGAUCCGAAGAGUUUCAAACAAGGCCCGAUUCUCCUUAGGUCAGCUCGAUUUGCUCUCUAAUCCUGGGCGACGCAGGGUUCAAGGAUCUUCUGAAUCUCAUCCCAUUGUAGGAACUCCUGCUGUACUCAGAGAAUGUUGUUCAGAAGGGGAGACAGGCAAUAAAUAUAAGAUGAAGUUAUGAGGAGAGAAGCUAUUCAUAGCUAAAACUCUAGCUAAAAUGGCUAUUAUUUAUUGCACGGAACUGAAAUCGGAUGAAGUCGAGAAACCCAACGUACAAACCCAGAAGCUGAGAUACUACACAAGCGGACGUAUUUCAAGGACAAAUCCAAAGGUGUUUUGUUCUGUGUUGGCCCGAACGAUUGCAUGUUGUUGUCAUCAUUGCCAUGGAAAGUGCCACUGGAAUGAAAGGGGUUGCCAUCAAUGGGUCUUUUUAUGGUUACUGAGCUGCGGAGCGAACCUGUUUGAGCUGGAAUAAUGGAUACGGUGGAUUCCCCAGCUAAUUCCAUGCAAGUUUAGUCCCAUUUUAUAGUUCCAGUUGCCUUCAACUAAAACAAGAUGGUAACUUUGAGAUUAUCAUUACAUAAGGCAGAAAAUAAAUCUUGUGUUAAUGCUAUCUAUAGUGAAAAAAAAAAGUAUGCUUUCUGAUACAAAGAGAAUUUGGUGCUGGAAAGAAAUGCUUGGAUUUACUUCUAUUCUUGUGCCACAUAAAUUUACUAAGCGAGGCGGAUUAACUAAAGAUCGAGAAGGGAAAAAAAUACCUAAAACCAGAAUAAAAAUUCCAGGUCGCUUCCCCUUAUCCAACUCUGUGUGCAUGGACACUGCUGAUUUGGGCAUGUACCAUUUCCUUUUCAUUAUUCAUCCUCCAGAAGCU